GACGAACGCUGGCGGCGUGCCUAAUACAUGCAAGUAGAACGCUGAAGGAGGAGCUUGCUUCUCUGGAUGAGUUGCGAACGGGUGAGUAACGCGUAGGUAACCUGCCUGGUAGCGGGGGAUAACUAUUGGAAACGAUAGCUAAUACCGCAUAAUAGCAGUUGUUGCAUGACAACUGUUUGAAAGGUGCAAUUGCACCACUACCAGAUGGACCUGCGUUGUAUUAGCUAGUUGGUGGGGUAACGGCUCACCAAGGCGACGAUACAUAGCCGACCUGAGAGGGGGAUCGGCCACACUGGGACUGAGACACGGCCCAGACUCCUACGGGAGGCAGCAGUAGGGAAUCUUCGGCAAUGGACGGAAGUCUGACCGAGCAACGCCGCGUGAGUGAAGAAGGGUUUCGGAUCGUAAAGCUCUGUUGUAAGAGAAGAACGAGUGUGAGAGUGGAAAGUUCACACUGUGACGGUAUCUGACCAGAAAGGGACGGCUAACUACGUG
rnacentral:rRNA from 1 species